UACGAAGGGGGCUAGCGUUGCUCGGAAUUACUGGGCGUAAAGCGCACGUAGGCGGAUUGUUAAGUCGGGGGUGAAAUCCUGGAGCUCAACUCCAGAACUGCCUUCGAAACUGGCGAUCUUGAGUCCGGGAGAGGUGAGUGGAACUGCGAGUGUAGAGGUGAAAUUCGUAGAUAUUCGCAAGAACACCAGUGGCGAAGGCGGCUCACUGGCCCGGUACUGACGCUGAGGCACGAAAGCGUGGGGAGCAAAGCAGG
rnacentral:rRNA from 1 species